UACGGAAGGCAGCAGUGGGGAAUAUUGCACAAUGGGCGAAAGCCUGAUGCAGCUAUGCCGCGUGUAUGAAGAAGGCCUUAGGGUUGUAAAGUACUUUCAUCGGGGAGGAAAAAACAAAACUAAUAAUUUUAUUUCUUGACGUUACCCGAAAAAGAAGCACCGGCUAACUCCGUGCCAGCAGCCGCGGUAAUACGGAGGGUGCUAGCGUUAAUCAGAAUUACUGGGCGUAAAGAGCACGUAGGUGGUUUUUUUAAGUCAGAUGUGAAAUCCCUGGGCUUAACCUAGGAACUGCAUUUUGAAACUGAAAUACUAGAGUAUCGUAGAGGGAGGUAGAAUUCUAGGUGUAGCGGUGAAAUGCGUAGAUAUCUGGAGGAAUACCUGUGGCGAAAGCGGCCUCCUAAACGAAUACUGACACUGAGGGUGCGAAAAGCGUGGGGAGCAAAACAGGGAUUAGAUACC
rnacentral:rRNA from 1 species